rnacentral:siRNA from 1 species
UCCAAUUGUCUCAUGUGUAUAGGG